rnacentral:misc_RNA from 1 species
GAUGUUGGCCUGGUGGCUUGUGCCUUUCACGAUCCAUUGGAGAUGUGGAUGUAGGCGAAUUCAUUGUUCCUGUUCCUUACGUGAAGCAAGUUAAGUUAUCUACAGGGCGUGGUAGGCUUAUUGUCUCGAGUGAUGGUGUUUGGGAUGCUUUAUCUGCCGAAAUGGCUGUUGAUUGUUGUCGAGGGAUGCCUGCAGAAGCCGCUGCUGCACAAAUUGUCAAAGAAGCUGUACACAUGAAGGGACUUAGAGAUGAUACA